UGAGGAAUAUUGGUCAAUGGACGAAAGUCUGAACCAGCCAUGCCGCGUGAAGGAUGAAGGCGUUCUGCGUUGUAAACUUCUUUUAUCUGGGAAGAAACCUGAAUUUUCUAAUUCAGCCGACGGUACCAGAGGAAUAAGCACCGGCUAACUCCGUGCCAGCAGCCGCGGUAAUACGGAGGGUGCAAGCGUUAUCCGGAUUUACUGGGUUUAAAGGGUGUGUAGGCGGACUUUUAAGUCAGAGGUGAAAUCUCCGGGCUCAACCCGGAAACUGCCCCUGAUACUAUUAGUCUUGAAUAUUGAUGAGGUGGGCGGAACGGGUCAUGUAGCGGUGAAAUGCUUAGAGAUGACCCGGAACACCAAUUGCGAAGGCAGCUCACUGGGCAAUUAUUGACGCUGAGGCACGAAAGCGUGGGGAUCAAACAG
rnacentral:rRNA from 1 species